rnacentral:misc_RNA from 1 species
GUAGGUGAACCUGCGGAAGGAUCAUUCAUAAUAAAGUGUUUUAUGGCACUUUUUAAAAAUCCAUAUCCACCUUGUGUGCAAUGUUAGAUCUCGUCAAUCUUGGCGAGAUUUUUAUACAUCAACUCAUUCUUUAACUAAUUUGUCUGAAAAGUAUUAUGAAUACUUAAUUCAAAAUACAACUUUCAACAACGGAUCUCUUGGCUCUC